UGGGAUGGCUGAAGGAAGUAUGUUACUUGA
rnacentral:piRNA from 1 species